AUGGCUUCCAUGGCACAACCCUCACCUCUGAAGCGGCGUGAGGCUUCUGCAUCAAGAGAAGAUGAUAAACUGAUCAUAACUCCUUUAGGAGCUGGUAAUGAAGUCGGCCGCUCUUGUGUGUAUAUGUCCUACAAAGGGAAAACUGUGUUGGUAUGCCAUUAACACAAAUGCAUUAUCUUUUUUUGAGUAUUGAAUCUAGAGUUAUUAUUCUUUACUCUAAUUUUUUUUUUCUCUUCUUUCUUGCUUUUGUGAUUUUGGGUCACCUUCCAAUGAAUGAUAGUUUGAUUGUGGAAUUCACCCCGCAUAUUCGGGCAUGGCUGCUUUGCCGUACUUUGAUGAGAUUGAUCCUUCCAUAAUUGAUGUCCUCCUCAUUACUCAGUAUGUUUUUUUUCCUUUUUAUUUUAUUUUAUCGUAUGCUUAACUCAUAAGUCAUAGCAUCAAUACUGCAAUGUCCUUGCUUCUCCUGCUGCUCUAGUAUUUUAUGUGUCAGUUGCUUAUGAAAUGAUAAAACCAUCAGACAUGACCCAUUGGGUCAAAAUAUUUCUUAUUUGAAUUGAAUGAGCUAACCAUUUAAGUGUUUACUCUGAUUGAGUAGAACUUUGUUUUUCUUUCUCUCUGACUAAUUUCUUAGAGUUUUAAGAGAUGAAUUUUAAUAGGAAAACUGCUUUGUGCAUAUUUCCUUGAUUUUCUUAUCAGUUGAAAAGAUUAUAUCUAAUGUAGGACAAGUAGCUCAAAUACCAAAUUUACAAAGAACUAAAUGUCCAAUACCAACUAUUUACAACAAAGAGCUUUUACACCAAAAUGAUGUGGGAUGAAAUAGAUAACAACAAGCAAUAUUCCAGAAGAAGUGAUGGUUUGUUAAGAGAAAAAAAGUUAUGUCUGAAGUUGAAUUAAUGGCCAAUCAAGGGAAUCGGUUUUGGUUUUGAAGUUCUUAAGCUGGAAUAUGUUAUUAUGUGUUCAAGGUUUGGAAAGAGGCGAAAACUGAAAAUGUUUUGUUUAGAUUUGGGUAGCAGAAAACCUAGACUUGGUGACAGCUGUUUGUGGUGUCAAUGCAAUCAAACUAAUGCAGGAAUUGAAAUCAAAGAAGAGGAAGGAAAAAAAACACAAUUGUUAGGAAUCUUUCGUCCAAAAAAAAAAUGUUAAGAAUCACUUGUGACCAUAGUUGCAUGACAUAAUGUUCAAAUAUGGCCUUAUACCUUGGUAAUUGUUGAAACUUAUUUUCCAUUAGAAAAAACAAAAAAGAGAGUUAAAUUUAAGGUGCUUAGAUUCCCAAAUUCUUAUAGGACUGGACUUUCAAAUAGGCAUAUUUCAGCAUAUGAUGAAUAGGUAUGUCUGCCGAUAUUGAAUAUAACUUUGUAUGUAGGUUGAGUGAUCCUGAAAAGGUUGGAUGUUGUACAAGAAGGAUAUGUUAGUAAAAAUAAUUACUUUUUUUUUUCUUUAGAUAUGGAUUUUAUGUACGCGAGCUCUUUAAGAUGUGAUUAUUUUAAGAAAUUUAUUGAAUAUUGUUGAAGGAAAAAGUCAAAUAAUAUGUCAUGAAUUCUUCUCAUGUUUUUAUUUACAAGUGAUAUUGUCUCCAUGAUCAAUAAUUCCUUCUGAAAUUUCGCUGCUAAGAGCGGUGCGGUCCCCUUUCCCCUUAAUUCUCAGAUUAACAUAUUUUACAUUACAAAAGAUACAACACAUAAAAAAUACUAGUAGUAAUUGGCAUUAGAAUCGAAGUGGACCAGCAGUUCAAAAAAGAUGCUAAUAGUAAAUGGGGAAUACAAUUGAAGUGGACCAGCAGUGCACAAAAGAUACAUCCCUCAUCCUACAGUUGAUAGAAAACCACAAACAAAAUAAACGAGCAAAUAUCCAACCAUGCAGAAAACAUAACAAAGGCCACCAAAACAACAAUCAGGAAAUCGAAAGGUUCUCUUCUUAGGGCCAGUUGUACUGUGCUCUUCUUGACAAUCACGUAAAGAAUUUUUGUAACAUGUAAGAAGUCAUGCGCCAUGCACAAUCACAUUGUAUUCUACACAUCAGACUUUUUUUUCUUUUUUUUUCAUUUGACAACAUGGUUAUAGAUGUGUCUGAUUUCACCUUUUGCUGCCAAAGUCAUGUGUGGAAGUGUUACCUCAUUAUUGUAGACUCUUCAUCCAAUUGUACUAAUGUUAGGUCAUACUUUUUGCUUGCAGUUUUCACUUGGAUCAUGCCGCUUCCCUACCUUACUUUCUUGAGAAGGUUUUCACUUUUUGAAUGAAUAAUUAUAUAAUUAGUUGUAUUUUAUUUUCCAGGGAACUAAUAUCUCUAUAACUUUUGAUAGACCACAUUCAAAGGCCGAGUCUUUAUGACUUAUGCAACAAAGGCCAUCUACAAGUUGCUUUUGACGGAUUAUGUGAAAGUGAGCAAAGUUUCAGUUGAAGAUAUGUUGUUUGAUGAGCAGGACAUAAAUGCCUCAAUGGAUAAAAUUGAGGUUUGUUGUCUUCCCAUGACCUAUGUGUUUAUUGCCACAGGUUUUUUGUUCCCAACUGAACCUCCCUAUCACAUAUUUAUACUAAAUUUGAGUUGUGUUGUUUCUAAUGAUGUAUGUUUGAACCAACCAAAAUUUUCCAGCAUUACAGCUUGUAGUUGUGGCUGUGUUUCAUAGGGGAUGUAUAUUUUCUCUCUGCCAAAAUUCCAAGUGAUUUGUGCAGAAAAAGUAGUGCUUUGAAGAAUCUGAGUUCAGUUGGCAUUUGUUGACCCAGUUAAUAUUUUAGUUUGGUGCAGGCCAGUUGGCGAUAUUAGUACUUUGAAUUGGUUAACAUUUUGGUCAUUGAUAGACUCAACCUCACCAUCUUUACAUCUUAUCCAUUUAUCUCUGUUCAGUACAAUCUUAAUCUUUACAUCUUAUCCUUUACACCCAACAAGACAUGAAUGAUUUUCUCAUGAUUAUUGUCUAACAGUGUAUGGUAAUUGUAGGUUAUUGAUUUCCAUCAAACAGUAGAGGUUGAGGGCAUUCGAUUUUGGUGCUAUACUGCUGGUCAUGUCCUUGGUGCUGCUAUGUUUAUGGUUGAUAUUGCCGGCGUUAGAGUCCUCUACACUGGUGAUUAUUCACGUGAAGAAGACCGGCAUCUCCGUGCUGCUGAGACCCCACAGUUCUCCCCUGAUGUAUGCAUUAUUGAAUCCACGUAUGGUGUACAGCACCAUCAACCUCGGCACAUCAGAGAGAAGCGAUUCACUGAUGUUAUCCAUUCAACCAUCUCUCAAGGGGGUCGUGUCUUAAUUCCUGUUUUUGCACUCGGCCGUGCCCAAGAACUUCUCCUGAUCCUUGAUGAGUAUUGGGCAAACCAUCCUGAUCUCCAAAAUAUUCCUAUUUAUUAUGCUUCCCCACUUGCAAAAAGAUGUUUAUCUGUAUAUGAGACAUACACCCUUUCCAUGAACGAUAGGAUCCGCAAUGCGAAGUCAAAUCCCUUCAUAUUCAAGUACAUAUCACCACUAAAGAGCAUUGAAAAUUUCAAAGAUGUAGGCCCGUCAGUGGUGAUGGCAAGCCCUGGUGGUCUUCAGAGUGGGCUGUCAAGGCAGCUAUUUGAUAUGUGGUGCUCUGAUAAGAAAAAUGCAUGUGUUAUUCCAGGGUAUGUGGUUGAAGGGACACUAGCUAAAACAAUCAUCAAUGAACCGAAGGAGGUAACUCUUAUGAAUGGACUCAGUGCUCCUCUCAACAUGCAGGUCCAUUACAUUUCAUUCUCUGCUCAUGCAGACUCUGUUCAGACAACUGCAUUUUUGGAAGAGCUGAGGCCUCCUAAUAUAAUCCUUGUUCAUGGAGAAGCUAAUGAGAUGGGGAGGCUCAAACAGAAGCUGAUGACCCAGUUUGCUGAUCGUAACACCAAAAUCCUCACCCCAAAGAAUUGUCAGUCUGUUGAAAUGUAUUUUAACUCACAGAAAAUGGCAAAAGCUAUUGGAAGGCUUGCCGAGAAGACCCCUGAAGUUGGUGAAAGUGUCAGCGGUUUACUGGUAAAAAAAGGCUUCAGUUAUCAAAUAAUGGCUUCUGAUGAUCUUCAUGUCUUCUCACAGCUGUGCACAGCAAAUGUCACUCAACGAAUUACCAUCCCAUUUGCUAGUGGCUUCACUGUGAUUAAACACCGGCUAAGGCAAAUAUAUGAGAGUGUAGAGUCUUCAGUGGAUGAGGAAUCUGGGGUGCCAACAUUGCGAGUGCAUGAUCGGGUGACGGUGAAGCAGGAUACAGAUAAACACAUUUCAGUACAUUGGUCAUCAGAUCCUAUAAGCGACAUGGUUUCAGACUCCAUUGUGGCUCUUAUUUUGAAUAUCAACCGA
rnacentral:lncRNA from 1 species